UGAACGUGGGGCCAUCUUUGAACUUUCUAAAGAGCCAUCGCAAUGGGGAAACUCAACCGAGUAGUGCUGUAACUGUUUCACAUGACUCAUUUAUUCUAUAGAGGGAAAUGGCAUUGGAUGAGCCAUCCACCUCAACCUCAACCUUCUCAAGGCCUUCUCGAGGGACAGACAAGAUUGGAACAGACACUAUAAGGGCGCUGUACAAGCGCAACUUGGAGCUGGACAACGACAUCAAAGUCUUGGUGAAAAAAAAAUUGAAGAUCGAGAUCCAGCUCCUCGAGAGGCAACUGCAUGGCGAUGCGACGGCUAAUAAAUAAAAUAAUUGAACAAGAGCAAAUGUUUUUCCGUCCAUUGUAUUUAUUGAACAAAAGUCAC